GCACAUAAUUGACUGCAAAAAAGAAGUCGGACAUCGGAAUGACUGUUUUCUUCGUUCAGUGGGUUCUAACUAUUGAAUUGUUGAUCACGUGAGUGGAUUGAACAGUUGAUACCAAGAAGUCAACACUUAGCCGCACACCUAUCAGUUGCAACAGGAGCCACGUUUUUCGCAGAAGCACAACAUUCAACAAGAAUCAGACAAAAAGUCCCGGCCCUACGUCAUGAUCUCCAGCGCUAGCUAGAGAAAAAGAAAAAUUGCUAUCUUAGCAGCUGGUGGAAGAACCGCUGCAGCACGAGACUCAACGUACACCAUGUGUUGAAUCUUCACGUGACUGGAUAACAAUUUCACGUGACUUACCCUGACGUCACGAUUCUGGAACAUUCUACUGUACACUCUACCAGAAGUGAAUGACCGUCAUGACUUCGCACUUUCAGACCACGACGAAACUGAUUUGGUUCGUUGCUUUCUCUAACUGCGUCAUUUACAAAUUUUCUUUGCUAUGGCUAACUCUCAAGACGUCCAUUUGAUGGGCGUUGGCAAGCAAUGUUCUCUCGAUUUUUGUCGAAGGCUUGAUAUGCUGCCUUUUGUGUGCGAAAAAUGCCAUUAAGUGUUCUGGUGCGUUUCAGCUGCUUCUCACAUUCCUUUUUUCCUGUGUGCUUGUCAGUGGCUGUAUUGUAGCGCGGGGCAUCUGUCUGUUAUGCUAGGUAUGUUGUUUGUCUGCUGUGUGUGUUGUGCGUGCGUGCGUGCGUGCGUGCGUGCGUGUGUGUGUUGUGCGUGCGUGCGUGCGUGCGUGUGUGUGUGUGUGUGUGUGUGUGUGUGUGUGUGUGUGUGUGUGUGUAUGUGUGUAUGUGUGUGACUUUGGUGUUUGGCCACACUGUUGAGCUGUCUAUCUGUCUGAUUGUUGUAUGUCACUCCUUUUGUCUGUCUUUUUAUCUGCUGUAUCUCGAUCCCUCUGUCAGUCACUCUGUAAUUUUUACUGUUUCUCUGUCUGUUUGUUUGCUUGUCUACCUUUUUAUCAACAUAUCGUCUAGGCUACUUAUCACGUGUACACUAUUUCUAAUUCUUAAAAAUUAAGACGUUAAUGUUAUUGUAGAAGCGGUAAUAAUUAAGUAUUGAAUCUUAGUUAUGAUACUUUCCUUGCAAUAUUCUUAGCAUUGGAACAUUGUCGCGCUGUUGAGAAUUGCUUUCUCCAGUAACACACGGAUUCUUUAGCAUUCUGUUUCUCUGUCUGUCAGUCAGUCUGUCUGUCUGUCUGUCUGUCUGUCAAAUCUUUAUAUUUCAUACAUAUGAACUAUUACUAGCUAUAGAUACAAAGUCCGUUAUGUUUCAAUUAGACCCACAUGGGUCUCUAAAAAAUUAUCAACUUAGGUUGCAUGCAAUUGGACACUAGAUAUGUCACUAAUGUAAUUUUUUUGCUUCAUGAGCGGUUCAUCUUCUGGAUGAGAACCUUUGCUGUCUGUCUGUCUUGUAUAACCUUAGCGAUUCUCAUUGGUAGAGUAAGCUUUCAGCUAUAACAAUCUGUUAUUUUUCGGUCUGCUUGUCUGGUAUAUAUAUUCCAACGUCAAAGUAUCAUACAUUGCUUCUAAAUCACAGUCUACAAGUUGACAACUAAUGCUAACAACAAUACGAUCUAAACCUAUGGUAAAACGAAUUGAUUUCGAAAUCUAUCGUAAUUGGAAAGCUGAAGUCCUACAGUUAAUGACUGGAAAAGUGGGUGCUGACGUCUGAUUAUCUGUCUGUUUGUCUGUGUGUCUGUAUGUCUGUAUGUACAUGUAUGUCUCUCUGUGUGUCUGUCUUUCUGUCUGUCUGUCUGUCUGUCUGUCUGUCUGUCUGUCUCUGUCUGUCUGUCUGUCUGUCUGUCUCUGUCUGUCUGUCUGUCUGUCUGUCUGUGUGUCUGUUUGGAUGUUGCUAUGGCUCAUCCCUGGAGCAAAGAUACCAUCAAGGGAGCGUCCACGACAUGUGGAUAUGCAGCAACAAAACGAGAGGCAAGGAAGGAAGUAAAGUAUCGCAAAGAAUCAUUACCAGAUGGUUCUAAGCCUUUUGUUACUCCUCUGGUGUUCGAACACUUUGGUCGUUGGGGACCCAAAGCAGAGGAAUUUUUAAAUGAGCUUGCAAAGAAGUCCAAAGACAUGCUGGGAAGGAAAAAUGAAGCAGCUUUUAGAAGCUAUUGGAGAAGAAGAUUUUCUGUGAUUAUUCAGAAAUGUAACAGUAGAGUUGUUUUAAGAAAGCUAUCUAGGCUUUCAUUGAAUUGUUUGGAUGGACAAGACAAGCUAGAGAUGGACAAAGCCAUUCAUAGUUCUAUUCAUUAAUUAAAACGAAGAACAGUAGGAGAGUAGAACUUUUAGUACUGCAGCAAGUGAUGUAAGUAGUGACGUUUGAUGACAAUAAAACAAAUCUGUCUGUCUCUCUGUCUGUCUGUCUGUCUGUCUGUCUCUCUGUCUCUCUGUCUGUCUCUCUGUCUGUCUGUCUGUCUCUCUGUCUCUCUGUCUGAUAGGUAUACUGACUCUGAGAACAGGCCGGAUAUAACAACAUAUGAUCCCACUGAACACGUGACGAAGGACUUUUCACUUGCUCAUUCACGUUCUCGUGACACCGUACAAUCAGCUGCCAAAAUAUCAUUUUAUGCAGCUGAGUUGAGAGAAAAACGCAAAAUGACAAAAUAUGGUCAACAGCAGUCUAUAGCAGGAUCUGAUACAACAUGUAUUCCACUGGAAAAGAUGCAAAUGGAAAAAGCAGCAAAACAGACUUUAGAGAUAGAUGGAGAAAGCAACUGUCUGUAGUUGUACAGUCUUCCAACUCUCGUGUGAUUUUUAAAAAGUUGUUGAAGUUAUCUAAGUGAAACUUUGAUGAUUUUCUGUAUGAUAAAGACGUUCAACAUUUUGCUCAUUGACUGUUAUUGUUAUGCAUAUGUAAAAUUAACGAUUGUUAUUGGUAGAGUAAGAGUUCAAAUAUAACAAUCUGUAUGUCUGUCCAUA